rnacentral:rRNA from 1 species
AAUGGGCGCAAGCCUGAUGCAGCCAUGCCGCGUGUAUGAAGAAGGUCCUUCGGGUUGUAAAGUACUUUCAGCAGUGAGGAAGGUGGAUAUGUUAAUAGCAUAUUCAUUUGACGUUAGCUGCAGAAGAAGCACCGGCUAACUCCGUGCCAGCAGCCGCGGUAAUACGGAGGGUGCGAGCGUUAAUCGGAAUUACUGGGCGUAAAGCGCAUGCAGGUGGUUUGUUAAGUCAGAUGUGAAAGCCCGGGGCUCAACCUCGGAAUUGCAUUUGAAACUGGCAAACUAGAGUACUGUAGAGGGGGUAGAAUUUCAGGUGUAGCGGUGAAAUGCGUAGAGAUCUGAAGGAAUACCGGUGGCGAAGGCGGCCCCCUGGACAGAUACUGACACUCAGAUGCGAAAGCGUGGGGAGCAAACAGGAUUAGAUACCCUGGUAG